GUGUGUGUGAUAUUUAUAUUCGUUAGUGCGGCAGAUACUUAAGAGUGUACAAUAGCUUCAAACACCGAAUUCCUUUAAUCGUUGUUAUUGUGGUUGUUGACUUAACUCUUUUGUCUGAGAUCAGAGCAAGCCCACGAGUCUUGUUAAUCGUUCAAAAUUAAAUUCUUGAUGCAUGAGUGUGAAUAUUUCAGUUAUUGAUUUUCCUCAGGUAGAAGUGGUUGACGGCUGUUAAUUUCAGUUGCGCUUCUUUGAGAGCUAUUUUUCAUGUCAGAAUUCCAUACACCACCCUGGAGAGAAUCAUGGCUACUGGCCAAGUACCACACCCACUUCGGAUAGACACAUCCGGAAGAUACACAGUCUUCACCCACAUUUCUUGGCUUCUACUUCAGGAUUAUAUAGCGCUCUUGCUUCUUCAGCACUGGGCUACCGCAACAUCAUACUGAAUUAAAAUUCAACAGGUUAUGAGCCUAGUUAACCAAUGCUCCCAAGAAGUCCAUUAGAGAUGUACUUCUGAGCAGUAAGUCAAACGGCUGUGUUAUUGGUGUAAGACAAGGACCCACCACUGGCCAAACGUAUAAAAAACUGGACUCUGGGAUUUCUUUCUAGCUUCUACUCUCAGCAAUAGAAAGGACUGCCUUUCACGAGGAUAUUUCAGCUUAGUUUGUUCGUCUUGCUAUUCUUUCACUACUUAGAUAAGUAACCAUUCAAUAAUUUGCUAUAA